CCUACGGGUGGCAGCAGUGGGGAAUAUUGGACAAUGGGCGAAAGCCUGAUCCAGCCAUGCCGCGUGUGUGAAGAAGGCCUUCGGGUUGUAAAGCACUUUCAGUGGGGAAGAAAGCCUUGGGGCUAAUACCCUCGAGGAAGGACAUCACCCACAGAAGAAGCACCGGCUAACUCCGUGCCAGCAGCCGCGGUAAUACGGAGGGUGCGAGCGUUAAUCGGAAUUACUGGGCGUAAAGCGCGCGUAGGCGGUCUGAUAAGCCGGUUGUGAAAGCCCCGGGCUCAACCUGGGAACGGCAUCCGGAACUGUCAGGCUAGAGUGCAGGAGAGGAAGGUAGAAUUCCCGGUGUAGCGGUGAAAUGCGUAGAGAUCGGGAGGAAUACCAGUGGCGAAGGCAGCCUUCUGGACUGACACUGACGCUGAGGUGCGAAAGCGUGGGGAGCAAACAGGAUUAGAUACCCCGGUAGUC
rnacentral:rRNA from 1 species